AGGUUCAAAUCCUACAGAGCGUG
rnacentral:tRNA from 1 species